CCCAUUAUAAAAAUGCUAAAAAAGGACGAAUAAUGAACUAAAAAACUUUAAGUUAACAAUGGUAGAACUGUCAAAGCGUUCAGGAGAAGUAGGAGAGAGUGUACAAGAAAGUAUGAAACUGAACCUUAUUAGCUUAUCACCAGCUGCUGGAGAAUCGACAGAGAAAAGAACACAUCUUGAUCGGUGCUGCAUGCAUGUGGAAGAUUUAUAUUUGUCUAGGCAGCACGCAUGCAUCUGCACAGGAUGACCAAGUUGACGGCACCGGCCAUGCUUUGCUGCUCUGCUGGCCUCUCUCUGCAGUUUCCCACAGCUUUAUUGAACUGCAUGCACCUGCUGAUGCGGGUGGAGGAGUUGAAGCUGCCGCUCCUCUGAGAGAUGCAGUUCAAGAAAGCUGUGGAAGAUCACAAAGAAGGCCAUCUGAUUACUGCAGGAGGAGGAAGGAAGGAGGAAGAAGGAGAAGGAACACUGCUUGCUGCCUGCUGCCAUCGUCUUUGGCACUCAGUAACAGCAAGUUGGGUGGGUGGCGGAGGAAGCGGGGGAGAGCAAGGGCUAUU
rnacentral:misc_RNA from 1 species